GCCUUGGUAGCUCAGUUGGUAGAGCGUAAGACUCUUACAGUCCCUCUGACCGGGUGAGAGUGUUAAGGUCGCGGGUUCGAUUCUCGCCUGAGGCA